rnacentral:rRNA from 1 species
AUUGAACGCUGGCGGCAGGCCUAACACAUGCAAGUCGAACGGUAGCACAGAGAGCUUGCUCUCGGGUGACGAGUGGCGGACGGGUGAGUAACGUCUGGGAAACUGCCCGAUGGAGGGGGAUAACUAAUGGAAACGGUAGCUAAUACCGCAUAACGUAGCAAGACCAAAGUGGGGGACCUUCGGGCCGCACACGAUCGGAGGUGCCCAGAGGGGAUUAGCUAGUAGGGGGGGUAAUGGCUCACCUAGGAGACGAUCCCUAGCUGGUCUGAGAGGAUGACCAGCCACACUGGAACUGAGACACGGUCCAGACUCCUACGGGAGGCAGCAGUGGGGAAUAUUGCACAAUGGGCGCAAGCCUGAUGCAGCCAUGCCGCGUGUAUGAAGAAGGCCUUCGGGUUGUAAAGUACUUUCAGCGGGGAGGAAGGCGGUGAAGUUAAUAACUUCACCGAUUGACGUUACCCGCAGAAGAAGCACCGGCUAACUCCGUGCCAGCCGCCGCGGUAA